CUUGGUGGCUUGUGCGACGGGGAACCGCCCGUUCCCAUUCCGAACACGGAAGCGAAGACCGUCAGCGCCGAUGAUACUUGGACCGCAAGGACCUGGGAAAGUAGGUCGUCGCCAAGA
rnacentral:rRNA from 1 species